ACCCCCAGCACACCCUGCAUCCCCUUCACCUCCUUCAUCCAUUACACCCCCUUCACCUCCCUCAUCCUCUUCAUCCCAUCCACCUCCUUUAUCCCUUUCACCCCCUUCAUCCUCUUCACCCCCAGCAUCCCCCCCUGGGCCCUGCCCAGUUCCCUCCUGCCCCAGCCAUCACCAUCUCCCAGACAACGAGGAGAGCAGGUUCACUUUCCCUAUUGCUUUUAUUUCUGGGGUUUUUUUGUCUGUUUUUUGCCUUCUCAUACUAAAGCAGCUCAGCAGCUCGGUGGUUUUCUUGUGUGUGACUGAAAACUAAAAAAAAACCAAAGUGGCUGAGGGCAAAUUAUUUGAGUCACUGAAGUGAUGUGGGGACUGACCCUCACACCCCCUGAGGGGCCUGGGCUGGGGCCCUUUUAUGCUCCACAUACAUUGUCCUGUCCCAUCUAAACCAAAUUUUCCUCACUAAUUUCUAAGCAAGUACCUGAGAGGUAAAAAAAAUAUCCAUAAUCACCUCCUGGCAGAUGUCUGUAUUUGUAUUGCAGUCUCUCUCCCCUUAAUUUCUACCUCACCUGAAUACUCUAUUCUUAAUGCAAUCAGAGAUGUAAUCCUCAUGGGGUAGGACUAUAUUUGACCUGGAAUUAUUAAGAAUUUGCCAUUUUCCCAGAGGAAAACAUGCUGACUUAAACCUGUGGAAAAUGGAAGACAUUAAUACAGUGGAUUUGAACACCUCUGUAGUGAUGCUUAACUCUGGUAAGCAACAGCAGACUGAGAAAUAACUCUGAUGAACACACUGAUGUUCCCACCGGAACACUCAGGAUGCACUUAUAUUAAAAAAUGUUGUUUUAGAUACACCAUAAUCAGUUCUGAAACCUAUAAUUUUAGUAGUAAGAAAAUCUCAAAUAUGUUUAAACUAAUUUAACUUAUUAGCUUAAAUGAAUUCUAAUUUACUCGUAUUAACAUUAAGGUUUAUAAUUAAGCUAAAGUAAUUACACCUCUAAGUUUUGAUGUUGUAUUUAAAAAAAAAAUGAAGUCUUCCAUUUUAGAUGUUAGAGCCUGUGUAACAGGGAAGUUGAAAACAUAGAACAAACUACAUACCCUAUUAGCUAAAGUAUAAACCUUUCUACCUUCAGGAUUAUAUAUAAAGUUUCCCAGAAGUAUCAUAAAUAACAGAAAUUAUAACUUUUCUCUACUUGUGUGUACAAGUCAUCUUUUUUUCCCUGCCUUUACAUUGAGAAUAUCUACCAUCUGGUGGUGUUCCAGGGGACUUGCACUUGCAAUUUACACUUUCUGGUGGUCAGAGAAGCCUACAAAUCUUUAGGUGAUUGAAGUUCUGAACCGUUCAUUUGUGGUAUUCUGAAAAUAUCAGUAUUGCUGCUAUUGUGCUCUCCAAAAUGAUGAAUUAGCUCUUCAGGUUCCCUGGGUGUGUGCAAGCACACAGGGACAUGAUAACAUGAUACCAGCACACAGAAGAAACAAAUACUAGCAAAAGCUCUUUUGUAAAUCUUGAAUGUGUGACUGAAUAUAUAUAUUCAGGGUGACUUAAAAGAGAGAGAGAAAAGGAACUUCUUGUGUGUGGAAAUCUUAGUGAGCCAUGGCAGGAAAAAAUAGUUCUAGAAAAGAUUUUUCUUAUCAGAGGGUCUAAAGCAGCAUUGAAACUAGCUGGACUCCAGUGAUACCAGUAGGGCCAGUUCUUCUCUUGUUAACUGGGACAAGGUCUCUUUUAUCACAACUUUCUGUGCUGUUCUAGUUGUCCCUACAAACACAGGAGACAAUGUGCUGCCUGUUAUGGCUCUCACUAAUAAUGUCCCUGGGAAAAACUGAUACAGUUGAACUGCUUGGGUUACUGGUUAUUAAUAGCUCUGAGUUUAAGUAAUAUUACCAUCUUUUUCUAUAAGUGUAUUUUUGGUAGAUGAAUUGACUGAACUGCUAAGAUAUUUUGGGAGGUUGUGCUUGAAAUGUCCUGGGGAAUGAGACUCUUAAAACUCAGUUGUUAAGUAUUCCUGCUCCUUCCCUGCUGGUUUAGGUGAACCUUUCCAACCUCCAGGUCCACCACAGUCCUUAUUUUUAUUUCUGCUUUCUACAGCCUGGCUCACUUUUGCACCAGGAGCAGGUUUCAUUAUAGAAAUCUAAUUUUUCACAGAAUAAACCAACGUCCAACCUUUUACACUACUCAAAUGUCUCAUGGUUUGCUUGUCACUCUAGUCUGUGUUGGUUGCUCACCUGUUAUAUUGUACAAAUAUACAACCACAAGUUGCUGAACCACAAGUGCUGCUUUUCUGCUCUGGAGAGGUCCCUUUUCAGGCCACUUUAUGGAACUGAUCACAGAGCAUUUUACUUCUGGCCAAGGCUGAACAUUGCCCUCUCCAGAAGGUGGCAGCUGCUGAGGUCUGCAGUCCAGCAGAUGAUUUACAGUCCUGGGUCUGGGGUAUGUGCACGGAUUCAGUGGGAACUGCUGAACAACAGCAGUGGAGGAUCUGGCCUCUCUGUUCCCAGAUUUUACUGUGCAGCCUGAGCAAGUGCUGCCAAGGGCACACUCCCUAGGACGAGGAUGAAGAAUGGAACUUUCAUAAACAUCUUUGCUCUGCUUGGAGAGUCGCUUUUCCUAAUCCCCAGACCAGAUGGAUCCAAACUCGGAUUAAUUUUUAUUUAGAGGCAGCGGAGAACUGAGAUCCCAAAA